GUCUUUGUCUUUGUCUUUGUCUUUCUUGUUCUUGUUCUUUCCGUUGGGAUUUUCUCUGUCUCCAAACCAAACCUCCGCCAUGAUAAAUCUCUCCAAACUCAUUAACAGCACUGCUUUAUCAUGGGAUGCUAAGUCACAGCCAAACCCAUGUUCAUGGAAGAGGGUUAAUUGCAGCAGUGAUAACUCGUCUGUAAUUGCUCUUUCUUUAAAUGGGCUUGGUCUUUUCUCUUCUGGGUUUUUGUCUGUUGUUUGCAAUAUUGAAUCUUUACAGUCGCUUGAUCUCUCUAACAACCAAUUGAGCUCAAUCCCAAUUGAGUUCAUCGAUGGUUGUGGAAGGAUCGGUGGUUUAAAGCUUUUGAAUUUUAGCAAAAAUUCGUUGGCUGGUCUUUUGCCUGCUUUUCGUGGUUUUGUUGGGUUAGAAUCUUUGGACAUGUCUUUCAAUUCUCUGAGCGGUAAUAUUAGUUCACAGUUAGGUGAAUUGCCUGCACUUAAAAAAUUGUAUCUUAAUUUCAAUAGCUUCAGUGGUUCUGUUCCUGUAUAUCUUGGAAAAUCCAUGGUGUUGGAGGAGCUUCAGCUUUCUGUGAAUUUUUUCGAAGGUGAAAUCCCCUUGGAAAUUUUGAAUUAUCAGAACUUGAGCCUUAUUGAUCUUAGUGUCAAUAAGCUUGAAGGGUCUAUUCCUGAUUCAAUUGAAAAUCUCACCAAGUUAAGGAUUUUGAUUUUGUCUUCCAAUAAAUUGGUUGGACAAAUCCCCAAGACCAUUGCAAAUAUCCCAACCCUGGUUCGGUUUGCAGCAAAUCAGAAUGGUUUUCGUGGUGGAAUUCCUGAUGGAAUUACAACACAUCUUAGCUUUUUAGAUGUUAGUUAUAGUAAGUUAACUGGGUCUAUUCCAUCAGACCUUUUAUCGCAGUCGAAUUUGCGAACUGUGGAUUUGUCUUAUAAUCUGUUGAAUGGUUCAAUUCCUGAUAAUAUAUCACAAAGCCUGGUCAGAUUGAGAUUGGGAGGCAACUUUCUCAAUGGCUCGGUCCCUUCUUCGUUCACGCCAGGCCAUAAGUUGAUGUACUUGGAGCUGGAUAACAAUAGAUUGACGGGUGUCGUGCCUGCUCAGUUGGGUUAUUGCCAGAAUUUGGCGCUGUUGAAUUUGGCUCAGAAUACUCUUACAGGUCAAUUGCCAAUGGAAUUGGGUAAUAUUAGUAGUCUUCAAGUUUUGAAACUUCAACUCAACAGGCUGUAUGGAGAAAUCCCUCCACAAAUCUCUCAAUUACACAAGCUGUCAACUCUCAAUAUCAGCUGGAAUUCUCUUACUGGUUUAAUACCUCCUUCAAUUUCAAGCUUGCAAAGCCUUGCUCAGUUGAACUUACAAGGCAACAAUCUUAAUGGUUCGAUACCUGACGGUAUCAACAGCAUGGAUUCUCUGUUGGAACUCCAACUUGGACAAAAUCAACUAGGUGGAAGGAUUCCAACAAUGCCAGUGAAGUUGCAGAUUGCUUUGAAUCUUAGCAGCAACCACUUUGGAGGGCGUAUUCCAAACACUCUUUCCCGACUGAAGGAUUUGGAAGUUCUGGAUCUCUCAAACAAUAAUUUCACAGGUGAGAUUCCAGACUUCCUUACUCAGUUGGGAUCUCUAACACAGUUGAUACUCUCAAACAACCAGCUUAUUGGAACCAUCCCAGAAUUCAGGCCGUGGGUUUCUUUCAAUGCAAGUGGAAAUAUGGGUCUUGUCAAUGCUACGAAAACAAACAAUUCCCCAGAAUUCGUAAAGAAGAGGAAAUCAGUUGUUUUGGCAGUUAUUAUUGCUGUUGCAUCUGCUGCUCUUGCUGUUGGGGUGAUCAUAAUUAUUGCUGUAUCAUUCUCCAGACGAUUUCUCAAGGUUAAUGAUCUGCAGUCACAGUCAGGGGAAGACCGUCCACUCCCUCAGGUCAUCCAAGGCAAUCUGUUGACUUCAAAUGCAAUUCACAGGUCAAACAUUGACUUCACCAAAGCCAUGGAAGCAGUUGCUGAUCCACAGAACAUCGUCCUGAAGACUAGGUUUUGCACUUACUACAAAGCUACCAUGCCUUCCGGAGCAAGCUACUUUGUCAAGAAGCUUAACUGGAGCGACAAGUUAUUCCAACUGGGAAGCCAUGAUAAAUUUGAUCAAGAGCUUAAAGUUUUAGGGAAAUUGAGCGAUUCAAAUGUCAUGACUCCAUUGGCAUAUUUAUUGACUGCUGAUAGUGCUUUUCUCUUCUAUGAGCAUACUCGGACGGGUACCCUAUUAGAUGUUCUUCAUGGUAAAGGGGGAAAUGCUUUGGACUGGGAAAGCCGUUACAGUAUAGCAGUCGGAGUGGCUCAGGGUCUUAACUUUCUGCAUGGACGUACUUCUGGACCGAUUCUCCUUCUUGACCUUUCAAGCAGAAAUAUUUUGCUGAAGUCCCUGAAGGAGCCUCUAGUAGGAGACAUUGAACUCUGCAAAGUGAUCGAUCCCGCAAAGAGCACUGGUAACCUUUCAACAGUUGCUGGUUCCGUUGGCUAUAUACCACCAGAAUAUGCUUACACAAUGAGAGUCACAAUGGCGGGGAACGUAUAUAGCUUUGGGGUUGUUCUACUGGAACUGGUUACAGGAAAGCCAGCAGUUAGCGAGGGAAUUGAAUUAGCUAAGUGGGUCUUACAUAACUCAAAGCAGCUGAAUAAGUGGGAUCACAUCCUUGAUUUUAACAUCAGUAAAACUUCACUGGAAGUCAGAGGCCAAAUGCUUGCCAUACUUAAGAUUGCUCUCAGUUGCGUCAGUGUUUCACCAGAAGAAAGGCCAAAAAUGAAGACUGUGUUAAGGAUGAUCCUCAAUGCACGAUGAAUCCCAGCCUCAUGAAACAAAUCUGCCUAUUAGUGUGUAUAAGAUCGAUCAUCUCAGUUUUGGUUAUGUCCAAUCAUUCUAGGUAAUAGAAAAGCCAAUAUAUCAAUAUUGCAGUUGUUUGCGGCCAACCUGCAUGUAUACUGAGUACAUGCGUAGCAAUUUUAGGUAAUAUAAUUUAUCAGUUCUCUUUCUAAUCAUCUGUCAUCCCUGCAUAAAAAGGUUGUCUAAGCUUGUUUCUGUUAAAAAAUUCUUCUGAAGUACAUUUUGUUCAGAUUAACUUGGCCUUUUCUUUAAGGGAGGUUGAGAUGAUCAAUGUAAAAUUGCAGAAUAAUCAUGAGAGUAAAAAUUAAUCCUCAUAUUAAAGUUGUACUCCAUCACUUUGUA
rnacentral:misc_RNA from 1 species